rnacentral:rRNA from 30 species
GUGGGUAGUUUGACUGGGGCGGUCUCCUCCUAAAGAGUAACGGAGGAGCACGAAGGUUGGCUAAUCCUGGUCGGACAUCAGGAGGUUAGUGCAAUGGCAUAAGCCAGCUUGACUGCGAGCGUGACGGCGCGAGCAGGUGCGAAAGCAGGUCAUAGUGAUCCGGUGGUUCUGAAUGGAAGGGCCAUCGCUCAACGGAUAAAAGGUACUCCGGGGAUAACAGGCUGAUACCGCCCAAGAGUUCAUAUCGACGGCGGUGUUUGGCACCUCGAUGUCGGCUCAUCACAUCCUGGGGCUGAAGUAGGUCCCAAGGGUAUGGCUGUUCGCCAUUUAAAGUGGUACGCGAGCUGGGUUUAGAACGUCGUGAGACAGUUCGGUCCCUAUCUGCCGUGGGCGCUGGAGAACUGAGGGGGGCUGCUCCUAGUACGAGAGGACCGGAGUGGACGCAUCACUGGUGUUCGGGUUGUCAUGCCAAUGGCACUGCCCGGUAGCUAAAUGCGGAAGAGAUAAGUGCUGAAAGCAUCUAAGCACGAAACUUGCCCCGAGAUGAGUUCUCCCUGAGACUUUAGGUCUCCUGAAGGAACGUUGAAGACGACGACGUUGAUAGGCCGGGUGUGUAAGCGCAGCGAUGCGUUGAGCUAACCGGUACUAAUGAACCGUGAGGCUUAACCUUACAACGCCGAAG